CUCCUCCCGGGUCAACACUGAGGGAAAUGAGGUUGGUACCACGGCAGUCAGCCUGUGACCGACGCACUGCGCUGGCGCGCUGACCUGUCCCUCCCCGCGCAGGCGCGGCACGGGCGCGCGGGCGCCCCCUCUCCACCGGAAGCGACUGUGUUGGAGGCGGGGCCGCGAGAGGAAGGUGGGGGAGCCCGGCGUGGGCUUCUCGGGCCGCGCUGGGGUGUGACCUGGCGGGCAGCUUUGCUCCCUCUUGAGCUUUCUCCCCAGCGCUGCACCCCUCUAGGCGUUCUCAUUGCCCCUUAAAGGUCUCUGCACAGAUGCCAAGUAACCCUCAGGACCAGAGGGUCCCAGAUCUCCCUUACUCAUCUCUUGAAGAUGACACCUGUCCAUGGCUGAGGCCUAGACCCUGGGAACCAACUGCUACAGGAUGACAGUGUUCUCAUGCUGAUCCAUUUUAUCAAAGGAAAACAUUUCCCCUGAGGAUUGAAGUACCCAGUGAACACAUGGCCCAGCUCAGAUACUGUCUGAGACUGAGCAAAUCCCUUAACCUCUCUGAGCUGUUCCCGAUUCAUUUGUAGAUGGGGAAGUCACUCCUGUACGAUGCUGUGAGUAAUAAAUGAGAUAAUGUUUUGUAAAUUGUAAAGUUCUAUACAAGUGACAUAUUAUGAUUGCUAUAUAUGCCAAGAAUAUUUUUAUAUUAGAAGAGGGCUGCUGGGACAGGCCUUAAGAUAAAUGAAUUAAUAAAAUUACUUCAUGCCAAGCUCUGUGCUAAAUCCUUUGCCUGUAUUAUUUAAUCCACACAAUAACACUGUGAGGUAGAUAUGACUAUUGUCAUUUCCAUUUUAUGGAUGACGAAACUGAGGCCCAGACAUGCCACUUGCCCAGGGUGGAACAGCUAGUAAAUGAUGGAGCAGGGAGUUGAACCAUAGUAAUUUUGUUCUGGAGUCCAUGCUCUUAAAUCCCGUGCUACUCUGUUAGGAAAUGAAUCCCUAAUAUUAAAUGUAACACCAAGGAAUUAAUCCUACUGAUCAAAUUUUAGGUGUUAAUGAGAAAGAUGCUUUCAGUGAAGCCUUUUACCUUAUCAUGUCCACCCCCAUUGGCUCUGCCUCAGCCUAGGUCCUGGAUACCAGCAGUGGAGCCUGUUGCACAACCUCCCAGCUGGGCCCUCUGGCUCCAGCCAGCCAUUCCCUUCCUCAUCCAUUUUCCAUAUGGCAGCCAGAGUGAUCUUUGCAAAGCACAAGCCAGAUCAGGUCACUCCCCAGCGUAAAAUUCUUUAAUGGCCUCCACUGCUGAAAAGAUCGAAUCCCAGUUUUUGAGCAAUGGCACAGAAGGACUGGUCCAUAAUCUGCUCCCUGCCCACCUCUCAGCCUUGGAUGUGACUUCUCCCAACGAGCUCCAGCCAUGCUAGUUACUGGAAGUUCCCUGAGCCUUCUGGCCUUGGCUCACACUUCCAGAACAUCCAGCCCCCACCAAAUCUUCAACUUCUCUUUCAAGACUCAGCUCAUCUCUAAGACCACCGCUCGGGAAGCCUUUCGUCCGUCCCCAGACAGGACGGACCACUUCACUUCUCUGCCUCUACUGCACGCGACACCCAGCGCUCCUGUCCCAGCACCUCCUGCGCCAUGGAGCUACUAUACUUAGGUGUUUCUAUAACCACAUUUCCACUUUUCAACAUAAGCUGGAAGGCAGGCACCAGCUCUAAUCCUAGCACCAAGCUCAAGCCCUGGCAUCUAGCAGUCACUCAACUGAUUUGUAAAUGAAGAUGGACUGGCCACAGGGCCUUCUGUCACUCCCUUCAUGCACCUUCCAUCAUAGGCCCUCAUCAGACUCUGCAUUUUCCCAGCUUCCCACUGACACUGUGUUCUAGAAGAGUCAAGUCCCAAAGAAACGUGACUCUCUUUGUACCCCUGGCUGGUGAGAUGGUGGACAAGCUGACCAUGCUCUUCAUAGUAAAAACUUACUCCCCAGUCAAAGGGGUAGGUUGGGAAAUCAGUGGCAUAGAUUCCAAGAAUUCAGACUCCCAACCGAACACUUUUGUAACAGCUCUCUGGAUAAAAAUCGGUUUACACAGAGUUGAUCAAAAUACUCUAGGCAGUUUUCCUAGAAACACCUUGCCAUUCAAACCCUUGUACAACAGCUGGGCUGGAAAGGGAGCUGGAGACUUAGACUAACAAAUAACAAAGGCUACCAUUGAUAGGGCAGGGAAGAGAAAUAAGAAAUUCAAGUGGAAAACAGGAAUUUAGACAUAGAUAAGAAUUUCCCUCAAGAUCUGAACAUUCCUGUUCUUGCUGAAAACUAUACUCAUUUGGCAAGAUCUGUGUAGAUAAAUAGGAUUUUUGUUUUAGGAAUAGUGUAAAAAUAAGCAGUUCACAAGGUCAGUGGCUGGUCUGGGCUGAGCAAACACAUACUGUAACACCUGU